rnacentral:rRNA from 1 species
AUGAACGCUGGCGGCAUGCCUAACACAUGCAAGUCGAUCGGUAAGGCUCUUCGGAGUACACGAGAGGCGGACGGCUGAGUAACGCGUAGGAACACACCCUGCAGUGAGGGAUAAGACACCGAAAGGUGUUCUAAUACCGCAUACGGUCUUCGGAUUAAAGCAUUUAUGCGCUGAAGGAGUGGCCUGCGUCAUAUUAGAUAGUUGGUGAGGUAAUGGCUCACCAAGUCGAUGAUGUGUAGCUGGUCUGAGAGGAUGAUCAGCCAGACUGGAACUGAGACACGGUCCAGACUCCUACGGGAGGCAGCAGUGAGGAAUAUUUCACAAUGAGCGAAAGCUUGAUGGAGCAAUGCCGCGUGCAGGAUGAAGGCCCUCGGGUUGUAAACUGCUUUUAGAAGAGAAGAUUAUGACGGUAACUUAUGAAUAAGGGACGGCUAACUACGU